rnacentral:rRNA from 1 species
GACGAACGCUGGCGGCGUGCUUUACACAUGCAAGUCGAACGGUGAAGGUGGAGCUUGCUCCGCCGGAUCAGUGGCGAACGGGUGAGUAACACGUGGGCAACCUGCCCCCAACUUUGGGAUAACUACUCGAAAGAGUAGCUAAUACCGGAUAUGAAGUCUGUAGGCAUCUACGGACUUGGAAAGUUUUUCGGUUAGGGAUGGGCCCGCGGCCUAUCAGCUUGUUGGUGAGGUAGUGGCUCACCAAGGCGACGACGGGUAGCCGGCCUGAGAGGGCGAGCGGCCACACUGGGACUGAGACACGGACCAGACUCCUCCGGGAGGCAGCAGUGGGGAAUAUUGCGCAAUGGGCGAAAGCCUGACGCGGCAACGCCGCGUGGGGGAUGAAGGCCUUCGGGUUGUAAACCGCUUUCAGCAGGGGAGAAGCGAAAGUGACGGUACCUGCAGAAGAAGCACCGGCUAACUACGUGCCAGCCGCCGCCGUAA